AAGGUACCGAACUUCUGUUGUAAGGUACCGAAUUUCUAAAAUUAUGAAGUUACGGUGAUGUAGUAUACUGGAUUUUCAAUCAUCUAUUUAGCAUCUAGGAGCUUCACUAAAUCCAUUUCUAGGGCAUACGAAUCAUUCCUUAGCAAUUCACCAUUGGAGGUUCAUGAAGCUUACCUCAAACCCACCGAACCGUCUCGAAACCCUUCGUUUCGCCGAACGGAGUUGUCCACAAGUCUCUUUGAUUACAUUUACAUUUUCAUCAUCACCAAAAUGAAUACAUAUUUCACUCACAUGCAUCCAGGUACAAUGUACUCUCUAAAAUACAACCACAUCACCUAUGUACACGAGGGUACUCUAGUACAAAAGGAAAGCCACAAGUAGCUAGCUAGGGCACUAAACCCUUACCGCGAUCCUUCUCCGGAACGCUCGCACUCGGCCCUGCAACAAGAUGGGGUGAGAACUAUAUAAAUAUAGUUCCCAGUGGGUUCGGCCGCCGACUCCGCUGAUCUUCUCACUAGGUCUAAGCUGGCACAGAUAGAUAGAUAGAUAUAUAUAUAGAAAUGAAACUGCGUCUAUACUAUACUAUGCCAUCAAAUGCAAGUAAUGCAUGGAAUAUCAUCUAGCAACAAGCCUACUAUCAUGUUAGUAUGCUUCAACAAUGUAAUAAAUACGAAUACAACAUAGUUAUGCAAUCCACUAUCAUAUACUAUGUUUAACCAUCGGAUGAAUAGAAAUCCACUUAUGCUAUUCAUGUCAUUACCCCAUCCACUAGGCUACCCCGCCUAAGAUCUCAAAUCUCAUAGGUACUCACACUACAAGUCUAGUAGGUGAAGAGGUGAAGAGCUACCCCGCCUUUCGCCCCGACUGAUAUCUCAAAUCUCACGGGUGAGGAGCCACGCUGCUCUUAUUUCGCCCGUCUCACAUCUCAAAGCCAUAGGUGAAAAGCUACCCCGCUCUAAUCUCAUAGGUAAUAAGCUACCCCACUCAAUUCUCAAAAGUAAUGAGCUACCCCGCUCAAUCCUCAUAGGGGAAGGGCUACCCCGCCCUUCGCCCCAACUCACUUCCCAGUCCAAUGGGUAAGGAGCUACCCCGCUCGUAUCCCACCCGGUGAGCUACCCCGCUCGUGAGCUACCCAGCUCGUGUGACAACUCCGGAGUGCACUACUUGUGUGGAGCGACCACCACAAGCUCAAAACAGACUUGUGAGUAUGAUCCAAUCCUCGCCAACUGAGGAUACCCUGUCAACUAGGUUAACAAACACUCGAAAAUCCACCUAUUCCUAGGUCCAUGUCAAGUGUCUCAACCACACUAAUCAACUCACACUAGGAAAUUGAACUAUCCCUAUGUUUGAUGCCAUAGUGUCUCAAUUACACUAAUUCUCAUGCAAUAUGCCACGAUUAGGGAAACUCACCUAUUCCCUAUGCUCAAUGCCAUAAGUGUUUCUAUUACACUAAGUUCCAAUGCCACUCGUCAUGUUAAUAAUAUUGUUUACAUGCCACUCAUCCAUGUUAUAGUGUUUUCUAUACACUAGUUCGCAUGUCACUAGUUUUCAUCAUCAAGUCCGAGUUCACCGUUCUCUUAUCACUAUAGGAUCUCAUGUCACAAACCCUAAUCCUCAUGCAUUCUAGAUUUAAGUGUCAAGUCCAUAAUGCUACACAAUUAGACAUGCAUGUAAGGAAAUAGAAAUGCAACUAUACAUACAUCCUAUAAUGCAUAAGAAUAAUAUAUAUGAUCAACUAUUCUAACUCGAACAUAGAAAGAAGCUAAGUUGCUUCGGGAUGGACACCCCCCACCUUUUAAUGCUACCAAGAGGCUAGGGUUCCGAUUUCGUGAUUUUUGUAAGCUUUCGCCGUGAGCUGCGGCAAUUUGUACCAAAACAGGCAUUUUCUCCGAUAUCUUCGCGUAGCUUCAUCGUAUCGCUGAACCGACUUCGCCAACGCGUCAGAAUACCUAUCAAUUUGGUUUGUAUAGGUUCAAUUUAGAUCAAAAUCCCUCACAAGCAAAACCCCUCUUUUAAUGCCCUAAGAUGUAACUAUGCAAGAAUUCAUCAUUUGAUCUUUAAAUUCGAGCAUCAAUCAACUACUUGUGGCUUUCCUUUUGUACUAGAGUACCCUCGUGUACAUAGGUGACGUGGUUGUAUUUUGGAGAGUAUAUUGUACCUGGAUGCAUGUGAGUGAAAUAUGUAUUCAUUUUGGUGAUGAUGAAAAUGUAAAUGUAAUCAAAGAUGUAAAAGUGGAAUGUGAUGUAAUAGCUAGAUGUAUCUCUCUUUAUGCACUUGUAUGUAUACUUGUGUUACUUGCUCUUGUUGUAUUGCACUCUUUGUGCUUCUCUCCUUGUUGGAUCGUGUAUGUAUUGAAUUAUCCCUGGGCAAAUUCUUUGUACAUGAUCCUGUGUUGAGCCUUGGGCGGAUAGGGGAGGUGCUGUCCGUUCGGCGUCCGUCCGGCGCGCCCGAACCGGACCAAAUUGGUAGCGGUCUCGGGGCGGGGCGUGACAGGUAUGGUAUCAGAGCAAGUUAAGAGCAAGUAAAGAGAGAGAGUCUAGGAUUGACCUAGAGGACCUUAGGUUGGGAAACCGUAAGGUUAUAGGUGCGUGAGUGGAACGUGGACCUAUACGGUGGCGGGAGUUGAUCGAUUGGGUCGAAGUGAUUGUAUGUCUCUAGUCGUGGCUAGAGAUGGAUUCAAGUGAUAUGAGUUCUUGGCUCGAAGUGGUAGUGUUGGGCGGCCGACAACACGACACCGAGAGUCUAGAAUGAGUACACUUGCGUGCUUCCGCCUAGUUUGCGACAUUGAGUCGCGUAGUUGUGAUCGCGAGCGAGUUGGUGGGUUAAGUUAAUUAACCCGGUUGUUGCGUUGCAGGAACUAAUGUCCCCAAGACGCUACACGCGCAGAUCUGUUCCGGUACCGUCUUCGGAGGCGCCAGAGCAGGCUGGACCUCCCGAGGCGCCAGAGUCAGUUGGGCCUAGCGAGGUGCAGGAGUUACAGGCGCAAGUGACCGCAUUGACCAACGUGGUGCAGUGCCAGAAGACCCGAUUCGAGCGGCUCCAGGAGCUCUUGGAGCAGCAAAUGGCAGCGGUGGCUGCGAUGGCGACUGGAGGUCGUGACCCGCCCGCACCUCCGGUGCACGCGCCUGAUGUGGCUGAGAGUGAGGGUAUAGCGGCGGUUCCGGUGGCGGCACGUCCCUCGCCGGCAAUUGUUCCUCCGGCAGCGUCAGGAUCGGCGACACCUGAUGCAACGGCCGAGGAGAUGGAGCGAGAGCGUUCGUUGACGGAUCUUAUCAGAUUCAAGAAGUUCAACCCACCAAUCUUUGAAGAGGAGAAAGUGGAGCCGUCGAUGGUGGAGUCAUGGAUUGACUCAAUGGAGAUACUUUUUGAGGAUCUCUAUACCUCGGAGAAAGACAAGGUGUAUCUCGCCACCUAUUGCCUUGGAAAAGUGGCGAAGGUGUGGUGGAAACGGGUGAAGCGAGAUCGGCCUUCUGACCUUCCACAUAUGUUAUGGGAGGAGUUUAAGAGGGCGAUGUUCGCCAACUAUUUUUUCGACACGAUGAAGCGAAAACUGCAGGAGAAGUUUCGCAAGUUGAGGCAGGGGGAUCGCUCGGUAGCGGACUACGAGCAAGAGUUCUCCCACAUCAUAGAUUGUGUCCCGGAGGUUGUUCGAGAUGAUCGGGACCGAGCCAACUGGUGCUUGCGAGGACUUCGGCCGGGGAUUUAUAAGGCCGUGCAAAUAUUCAAGCUCACUACCUUUGUUGAGGUUUUUGAUCGAGCAUUGUGGGCGGAGCAUGGCGAUGCCCACGUGCGAGAAGAACGAGAGGCGUCCGAGAAGGAUAAGGCGAAGAAACCGCCUGGCGGUAGCUCGGGGGGACAGUCGAGUUCCAAGAAGCGCCCGAAGUACCCGAGGAGGCAGUUUGAGAGCCAGGGACCUAUGCGAUGUGUGAUUUGCGGUCAGGAGCAUCGCACAGGAAACUGUGAGUAUAGGGCGGGACGAUGCUUCAGGUGUGGUCAGGCGGGGCAUAUUAGCCGUCAGUGUCCAGAAGGAUCGUCGCCUGCACCGUCUAUUGCAUCCGCCCCAGUGACUCUGGGGCAGUCGGGUGGAGUUCUGCCUGCUGCAGUAUCAGCGGGACGUGCGAUGGCACCGCAACGGCUUGAGGCGACCCGGUCGGCUCCGAGUGGUCAAGUGUUUGCCGCUCAAGCAGAGCGACCUGCUGGGGUCGAGGAGUGUGACACCAUAGGUAUGAUUUAAUUAAAGUAAUCAUACGCUUCUGCAUGAUGUACACUUAAGGAAUUGCAUGCAUUUACUUGUGGUUGUUCGCUACUAUUAUUCAUUGGAUAGUAGGGACCAAGUGGACGGGUUGGUGUAGAUACCCGGGCAUGCUUAUGUGGUGAUGGUGUAGCGCCUGUUGGAGCAGGUAGAGAGCUAGAUAGCACUAGCAAAAUACUGGUGAUGAUUGUUGGACGAGAAGUGAGGCUCGUGGUAGGGCGAUCGGUUAGUGUCCGAGCACGAGCACGUGGGCCUAAUAGUACCUCGAAGUGAGAUGGGUGAGUCGUGCUCGUGUGGCCGGUGCGCUUAGGCAGGGUUGCCUAAUGUCGAAAUUAGUGUACGGCACGUAGAGCGCUCGAGUAUAGGUACUCGUGAAGUACGGUGUUGACUCAACCGGAAAAGUGUGUAGGCAGUAGCACUGUAGCAUUACUAAGUGUGAAGCGCGCCUGGGAUCACUCGUGGGGCUGAUGGCUCGCAUUAGGUGUUUAGGAGCCAAUAGUGAUAUGUGUUGCUCGGGUGAGCAUGUCGUGGGAGACGACGGUUGCGGGUAUAGCUUGAGGAUGAUCCGUGCUUGGACCAUUCGUGGACUGUGGAACCUGGGUGCCUAUGAACAGGCGCAGUCAGCUGUGGGUGGCAGCGGCCCGGGGUAGGGCAGAGAUUUGGUCAGGACGGUAGUCCGAGCUUAGACCCGAGAGCGUGGAAUGCCACGUGUUAGAUCGUGUGAUCAUGGAUGCACUAAGAGUGCAAUGGUGACCCAACCCGAGGAUUUAGAGUGGUUUGGGGUCUUGAUUGCUCCUGGUUGGAGUGUGUGCGAAUUUCCAAGUGAGAAUUUCACCUUGUUAUGAUUGGGUCUGCGUUUGCGAGCGAGAGACGCUACAUGUUGAGACGGGUUUAGGCGGUAGACCUACGUAGCAUUGGUGAACUGUGGUUCGUCUAUGAGAUUGAGAUAAACGGUAGGCGAGUAGCCUUGUCGACGAGUUUAGGUUUGGAUUCACGAACGGGAGUUCGUGUGAGGUUAUUACAAAAGUGGUUCUUCCCACGGUGGUAAUGCACUUUCGGAGUUACACUUAGCAAAUGUGAGUGAAUUUGGUCUCACAUCCUCCGUAGUGGGCCUUGGAUGAUUUCAAUGAGUGAAAGGCUACUCCAAGAAGGAAAAGUGCAUUGGAAUCCCCGAUUGCUCGAUAAAUCGAGUUGGUAUAUGGAUUGGGGUUGAAAUUUGGUUAGUUUCGAGGACGAAACUCUUUUUAAGGAGGGGAGGAUGUAAGGUACCGAACUUCUGUUGUAAGGUACCGAACUUCUAAAAUUAUGAAGUUACGGUGGAUGUAGUAUGCUGGAUUUUUAAUAUAAAAAAAAUAGUGUGAGAUACUAUUUUUAUUGGUCUUAAGGGUGUGAAGUAUAAGUUGGAAAUGACUUGUGCUAAAAUCGGAGCGAAAACAGAAGAUUUAGAAUUUUCUGUGAGAGACGGGGCAGAUAAAUUAGCAGAAAAUGCACAGUAUCAGAAAAUUAUAAAAACUGGAGGAUAUGUCACAAUUAUUUUUGUGAGGCUAGAAUUAAAGUUUCACCUAAUUCUGACACCCAGAAUGUAGAAAAUAAAAUCGAACUGCUAUCUGCUAGAGAUUACAAUUCAGUAGAGCUUUCGGUGACCAAACGGGGUUGAAAUUGAAAGAUUAAAAAUUCUUUCGUUAAGUUAAGUAAAACCGAGCAUGACUGCUAAAUUUGAGCUCAAACGAACAUUUAGAAGAGCAGG
rnacentral:lncRNA from 1 species